CCUACGGGUGGCUGCAGUCGAGAAUCAUUCACAAUGGGGGAAACCCUGAUGGUGCGACGCCGCGUGGGGGAAUGAAGGUCUUCGGAUUGUAAACCCCUGUCAUGUGGGAGCAAAUUAAAAAGAUAGUACCACAAGAGGAAGAGACUGCUAACUCGGUGCCAGCAGCCGCGGUAAUACAGAGGUUUCAAGCGUUGUUCGGCAUCACUGGGCGUAAAGCGUACGUAGGCUGUUUCGUAAGUCGUGUGUGAAAGGCGCGGGCUCAACCCGCGGACGGCACAUGAUACUGGGAGACUAGAGUAAGGGAGGGGGAACCGGAAUUCCAGGUGAAGCAGUGAAAUGCGUAGAUAUAGAGAGGAACACUCGUGGCGAAGGCGGGUUCCUGGACAUUAACUGACGCUGAGGCACGAAGGCCAGGGGAGCGAAAGGGAUUAGAUACCCCAGUAGUC
rnacentral:rRNA from 1 species